AUUGAACGCUGGCGGCAGGCCUAACACAUGCAAGUCGAGCGGAUGAAGGGUGCUUGCUCCUGGAUUCAGCGGCGGACGGGUGAGUAAUGCCUAGGAAUCUGCCUGGUAGUGGGGGCUAACGUCCGGAAACGGGCGCUAAUACCGCAUACGUCCUGAGGGAGAAAGUGGGGGAUCUUCGGACCUCACGCUCUCAGAUGAGCCUAGGUCGGAUUAGCUAGUUGGUGGGGUAAAGGCCUACCAAGGCGACGAUCCGUAACUGGUCUGAGAGGAUGAUCAGUCACACUGGAACUGAGACACGGUCCAGACUCCUACGGGAGGCAGCAGUGGGGAAUAUUGGACAAUGGGCGAAAGCCUGAUCCAGCCAUGCCGCGUGUGUGAAGAAGGUCUUCGGAUUGUAAAGCACUUUUAGUUGGGAGGAAGAGCAGUAAGUUAAUACCUUGCUGUUUUGACGUUACCAACAGAAUAAGCACCGGCUAACUUCGUG
rnacentral:rRNA from 1 species